GACGAACGCUGGCGGCGUGCUUAACACAUGCAAGUCGAACGGAAAGGCCCUGCUUUUGUGGGGUGCUCGAGUGGCGAACGGGUGAGUAACACGUGAGUAACCUGCCCUUGACUUUGGGAUAACUUCAGGAAACUGGGGCUAAUACCGGAUAGGAGCUCCUGCUGCAUGGUGGGGGUUGGAAAGUUUCGGCGGUUGGGGAUGGACUCGCGGCUUAUCAGCUUGUUGGUGGGGUAGUGGCUUACCAAGGCUUUGACGGGUAGCCGGCCUGAGAGGGUGACCGGCCACAUUGGGACUGAGAGACGGCCCAGACUCCUACGGGAGGCAGCAGUGGGGAAUAUUGCACAAUGGGCGGAAGCCUGAUGCAGCAACGCCGCGUGCGGGAUGACGGCCUUCGGGUUGUAAACCGCUUUCGCCUGUGACGAAGCGUGAGUGACGGUAAUGGGGAAAGAAGCACCGGCGAACUACGG
rnacentral:rRNA from 1 species